GACGAACGCUGGCGGCGUGCUUAACACAUGCAAGUCGAACGAUGAAGCCGGAGCUUGCUCUGGUGAAUUAGUGGCGAACGGGUGAGUAACACGUGAGUAACCUGCCCUUGACUCUGGGAUAACUGCGGGAAACUGUAGCUAAUACCGGAUACGACCCUCGGAGGCAUCUCCUGGGGGUGGAAAGAAUUUCGGUCAAGGAUGGACUCGCGGCCUAUCAGCUAGUUGGUGAGGUAAAGGCUCACCAAGGCGACGACGGGGAGCCGGCCUGAGAGGGUGACCUGACACACUGGGACUGAGACGCGGUCCAGACUGCUACGGGAGGAAGAAGUGGGAAAUAGUGCACUAUGGGUGCAAGCCUGAUGCCGCAAAGCGGCGUGAGGGAUGAGGGCCUUCGGGUUGUAAACCUCUUUUAGCAGGAAAGAAGCGAGAGUGACGGUACCUGCAAAAAAAGCAACGGCUAACUACGUGCCAGCAGCCGCCGUAA
rnacentral:rRNA from 1 species